AAGGAGGUUGCUAUGAAGAACAAAACAAAAUGGAUUGCAUGUGUAGAGGUGAGCUGGCGAAUACUGAUAAAUGUACUUCACUGAAUGUCAGCAAAUGUCACUUGAGAAGCCAUUUGCAGCUACCAUAACAGCCUCCCAAACCCAACAAAGAGUAGCAAAAACAGGCAAAAUGAACUGGGCGUCUUGCUUCCGCAUGAAUAAGCAAUCAGCCCUCUCAGAAGUUACACCAGAAAGUUGUUAAACUUGAUAGAAGAAGCUUUCGCACCCAUACUGACGCACGCUAUAGAUUGCUACUGAGGGUUGGAGACCUUGUGAGGACAUCAGCACCGUGGCUCAGGGAAGGACCUAAUAACCCCUUCUGUCCCAGGAUUUCUGAAAGCCAAGGCCAAGUUUUCUUCGGAAUUCGGCUGGGGUGGAGAUGGUCCCCUCUUCCUCCUGGGCUUGGCCUUUCAGGGAAGCAACUUUCUUAAAAUUUUUCUACCUUUUUAAUGCAAAAAGUCCCCCCAAAGCGGGCAGAACGCAUCACAUCCGAGCAGAAAGUCAGGCCAUAAAAAGCUGGGCAUCCAGUCGCUUGAGGAGGGAGCUCAGGGCGCAGUGAUCGGCACAGAAGCGGCUCUGCCUUCCUGCAGCGGAAGGGUCCUGCAAGCCUUUCUCCACCCUCGGCGGCUUCGGCCUCCCAGGGGCGCAGGGCCCGGCCGCACGCCAAUUCGCGACACACAGUGGCUCAAGUUCAUCAAGUUUUCCUCAAUUUUGCAAACCCUUGCUGUAUCUCCAAGCCUCCCGGCUUAAGACCACACGAUUUCCAAAAAGGAAAAACUCAGAAGACCCCAGGCGCGGGACCCGAGCGGGCCCGGAGCGGGGCUGGAGCGGGCGCUGGCUGCUUCUGCGCCUCCCGGCCCCCUGCCCGCUCCGCUCUGCCCCCACGCACCUCGCUCCCUUCUUUCUCUCCGAAACUCCGUCCUCUCCGCCGAGGGGCUGCCGGGCCCCCAACCCACCUCCCGCGCGGAGAAUAAACACAGUUGACAUCACUGUUAUAAUCUUUAUUUAAAACUGUUUCCAAGGUUACAAAUUACCGUGCCUCGUAUGCAACAGGUUCCUCCGAAGCGGUAUCAUUACAGAUUAACUGUAAUGUGCAGGAUUAGAAUAAAAGCAUAAGGGAUUAGGUAAA